rnacentral:misc_RNA from 1 species
GAUGAAGAACGCAGCGAAAUGCGACAAGUAAUGUGAAUUGCAGAAUUCAGUGAAUCAUCGAGUCUUUGAACGCACAUUGCGCCCCCUGGUAUUCCGGGGGGCAUGCCUGUCCGAGCGUCAUUGCUGCCCUCAAGCCCGGCUUGUGUGUUGGGUCUCGUCCCCCUUCCCGGGGGGACGGGCCCGAAAGGCAGCGGCGGCACCGCGUCCGGUCCUCGAGCGUAUGGGGCUUUGUCACCCGCUCUGUAGGCCCGGCCGGCGCUUGCCGAUCAACCAAAACUUUUUUCCAGGUUGACCUCGGAUCAGGUAGGGAUACCCGCUGAACUUAAGCAUAUCAAUAAGCGGAGGA